rnacentral:rRNA from 1 species
CCUGAUGGUUAGCGGCGGACGGGUGAGUAACACGUAGGCAACCUGCCUGCAAGACCGGGAUAACCCACGGAAACGUGAGCUAAUACCGGAUAUCUCAUUUCCUCUCCUGAGGGGAUGAUGAAAGACGGAGCAAUCUGUCACUUGCGGAUGGGCCUGCGGCGCAUUAGCUAGUUGGUGAGGUAACGGCUCACCAAGGCGACGAUGCGUAGCCGACCUGAGAGGGUGAACGGCCACACUGGGACUGAGACACGGCCCAGACUCCUACGGGAGGCAGCAGUAGGGAAUCUUCCGCAAUGGGCGAAAGCCUGACGGAGCAACGCCGCGUGAGUGAUGAAGGUUUUCGGAUCGUAAAGCUCUGUUGCCAGGGAAGAACGUCCGAUAGAGUAACUGCUAUCGGAGUGACGGUACCUGAGAAGAAAGCCCCGGCUAACUACGUGCCAGCAGCCGCGGUAAUACGUAGGGGGCAAGCGUUGUCCGGAAUUAUUGGGCGUAAAGCGCGCGCAGGCGGUCAUUUAAGUCUGGUGUUUAAGGCCAAGGCUCAACCUUGGUUCGCACUGGAAACU